rnacentral:rRNA from 1 species
AUGAACGCUAGCUACAGGCUUAACACAUGCAAGUCGAGGGGCAGCAUGGUCUUAGCUUGCUAAGGCCGAUGGCGACCGGCGCACGGGUGAGUAACACGUAUCCAACCUGCCGUCUACUCUUGGACAGCCUUCUGAAAGGAAGAUUAAUACAAGAUGGCAUCAUGAGUCCGCAUGUUCACAUGAUUAAAGGUAUUCCGGUAGACGAUGGGGAUGCGUUCCAUUAGAUAGUAGGCGGGGUAACGGCCCACCUAGUCUUCGAUGGGUAGGGGUUCUGAGAGGAAGGUCCCCCACAUUGGAACUGAGACACGGUCCAAACUCCUACGGGAGGCAGCAGUGAGGAAUAUUGGUCAAUGGGCGAGAGCCUGAACCAGCCAAGUAGCGUGAAGGAUGACUGCCCUAUGGGUUGUAAACUUCUUUUAUAAAGGAAUAAAGUCGGGUAUGGAUACCCGUUUGCAUGUACUUUAUGAAUAAGGAUCGGCUAACUCCGUGCCAGCAGCCGCGGUAAUACGGAGGAUCCGAGCGUUAUCCGGAUUUAUUGGGUUUAAAGGGAGCGUAGAUGGAUGUUUAAAUCAGUUGUGAAAGUUUGCGGCUCAACCGUAAAAUUGCAGUUGAUACUGGAUAUCUUGAGUGCAGUUGAGGCAGGCGGAAUUCGUGGUGUAGCGGUGAAAUGCUUAGAUAUCACGAAGAACUCCGAUUGCGAAGGCAGCCUGCUAAGCUGCAACUGACAUUGAGGCUCGAAAGUGUGGGUAUCAAACAGGAUUAGAUACCCUGGUAGUCCACACGGUAAACGAUGAAUACUCGCUGUUUGCGAUAUACUGCAAGCGGCCAAGCGAAAGCGUUAAGUAUUCCACCUGGGGAGUACGCCGGCAACGGUGAAACUCAAAGGAAUUGACGGGGGCCCGCACAAGCGGAGGAACAUGUGGUUUAAUUCGAUGAUACGCGAGGAACCUUACCCGGGCUUAAAUUGCAGAUGAAUUACGGUGAAAGCCGUAAGCCGCAAGGCAUCUGUGAAGGUGCUGCAUGGUUGUCGUCAGCUCGUGCCGUGAGGUGUCGGCUUAAGUGCCAUAACGAGCGCAACCCUUGUUGUCAGUUACUAACAGGUUCCGCUGAGGACUCUGACAAGACUGCCAUCGUAAGAUGUGAGGAAGGUGGGGAUGACGUCAAAUCAGCACGGCCCUUACGUCCGGGGCUACACACGUGUUACAAUGGGGGGUACAGAGGGCCGCUACCACGCGAGUGGAUGCCAAUCCCCAAAACCUCUCUCAGUUCGGACUGGAGUCUGCAACCCGACUCCACGAAGCUGGAUUCGCUAGUAAUCGCGCAUCAGCCACGGCGCGGUGAAUACGUUCCCGGGCCUUGUACACACCGCCCGUCAAGCCAUGGGAGCCGGGGGUACCUGAAGUGCGUAACCGCGAGGAGCGCCCUAGGGUAAAACUGGUGACUGGGGCU